rnacentral:rRNA from 1 species
GGGACACGUGGUAUCCUGUCUGAAUAUGGGGGGACCAUCCUCCAAGGCUAAAUACUCCUGACUGACCGAUAGUGAACCAGUACCGUGAGGGAAAGGCGAAAAGAACCCCGGCGAGGGGAGUGAAAAAGAACCUGAAACCGUGUACGUACAAGCAGUGGGAGCACGCUUAGGCGUGUGACUGCGUACCUUUUGUAUAAUGGGUCAGCGACUUAUAUUCUGUAGCAAGGUUAACCGAAUAGGGGAGCCGAAGGGAAACCGAGUCUUAACUGGGCGUUAAGUUGCAGGGUAUAGACCCGAAACCCGGUGAUCUAGCCAUGGGCAGGUUGAAGGUUGGGUAACACUAACUGGAGGACCGAACCGACUAAUGUUGAAAAAUUAGCGGAUGACUUGUGGCUGGGGGUGAAAGGCCAAUCAAACCGGGAGAUAGCUGGUUCUCCCCGAAAGCUAUUUAGGUAGCGCCUCGUGAAUUCAUCUCCGGGGGUAGAGCACUGUUUCGGCAAGGGGGUCAUCCCGACUUACCAACCCGAUGCAAACUGCGAAUACCGGAGAAUGUUAUCACGGGAGACACACGGCGGGUGCUAACGUCCGUCGUGAAGAGGGAAACAACCCAGACCGCCAGCUAAGGUCCCAAAGUCAUGGUUAAGUGGGAAACGAUGUGGGAAGGCCCAGACAGCCAGGAUGUUGGCUUAGAAGCAGCCAUCAUUUAAAGAAAGCGUAAUAGCUCACUGGUCGAGUCGGCCUGCGCGGAAGAUGUAACGGGGCUAAACCAUGCACCGAAGCUGCGGCAGCGACGCUUAUGCGUUGUUGGGUAGGGGAGCGUUCUGUAAGCCUGCGAAGGUGUGCUGUGAGGCAUGCUGGAGGUAUCAGAAGUGCGAAUGCUGACAUAAGUAACGAUAAAGCGGGUGAAAAGCCCGCUCGCCGGAAGACCAAGGGUUCCUGUCCAACGUUAAUCGGGGCAGGGUGAGUCGACCCCUAAGGCGAGGCCGAAAGGCGUAGUCGAUGGGAAACAGGUUAAUAUUCCUGUACUUGGUGUUACUGCGAAGGGGGGACGGAGAAGGCUAUGUUGGCCGGGCGACGGUUGUCCCGGUUUAAGCGUGUAGGCUGGUUUUCUAGGCAAAUCCGGAAAAUCAAGGCUGAGGCGUGAUGACGAGGC